GUGGGGAAUAUUGGACAAUGGGCGAAAGCCUGAUCCAGCCAUGCCGCGUGUGUGAAGAAGGUCGUCGGAUUGUAAAGCACUUUAAGUUGGGAGGAAGGGCAGUAAGUUAAUACCUUGCUGUUUUGACGUUACCGACAGAAUAAGCACCGGCUAACUUCGUGCCAGCAGCCGCGGUAAUACGAAGGGUGCAAGCGUUAAUCGGAAUUACUGGGCGUAAAGCGCGCGUAGGUGGUUUUGUAAGUUGGAGGUGAAAUCCCCGGGAUCAACCUGGGAACUGCCUCCAAAACUGCAUGACUAGAGUACGGUAGAGGGUAGUGGAAUUUCCUGUGUAGCGGUGAAAUGCGUAGAUAUAGGAAGGAACACCAGUGGCGAAGGCGACUACCUGGACUGAUACUGACACUGAGGUGCGAAAGCGUGGGGAGCAAACAGGAUUAGAAACCCUUGUAGUCC
rnacentral:rRNA from 1 species